AGCGGAGUGGCGCAGUUGGUAGCGCGUCCGGCUCAUAACCGGAAGGUCGCAGGUUCGAGUCCUGCCUCCGCCA
rnacentral:tRNA from 1 species